ACCUGCCUCUCAGACGAGGAUAACAGUUGGAAACGACUGCUAAGACUGGAUAUGAAGUUUUGAGGCAUCUCGAAACUUUUAAAAGACCCGCAAGGGUAUGCUGAGAGAUGGGCUUGCGGCACAUUAGUUAGUUGGUAAGGUAAUGGCUUACCAAGACUAUGAUGUGUAGCUGGACUGAGAGGUUGAACGGCCACAUUGGGACUGAGAUACGGCCCAAACUCCUACGGGAGGCAGCAGUAAGGAAUUUUCGGCAAUGGAGGAAACUCUGACCGAGCAACGCCGCGUGAACGAUGAAGUAUUUAGGUACGUAAAGUUCUUUUAUUAAAGAAGAAAAAAUGAUGGAAAAAUCAUUCUGACGGUAUUUAAUGAAUAAGCCCCGGCUAACUAUGUGCCAGCAGCUGCGGUAAUACAUGGGGGGCAAGCGUUAUCCGGAUUUAUUGGGCGUAAAGGGUGCGUAGGCGGUUAAAUAAGUCUAUGGUAUAAGUUCAACGCUUAACGUUGUGAUGCUAUAGAAACUGUUUGACUAGAGUUGGAUAGAGGCAAGUGGAAUUCCAUGUGUAGCGGUAAAAUGCGUAAAUAUAUGGAGGAACACCAGUAGCGAAGGCGGCUUGCUGGGUCUUAACUGACGCUGAGGCACGAAAGCGUGGGGAGCAAACAGGAUUAGAUACCCUGGUAGUCCACGCCGUAAACGAUGAGUACUAAGUGUUGGGUUAAACCAGUGCUGAAGUUAACACAUUAAGUACUCCGCCUGAGUAGUACGUACGCAAGUAUGAAACUUAAAGGAAUUGACGGGACUCCGCACAAGCGGUGGAUCAUGUUGUUUAAUUCGAAGAUACACGAAAAACCUUACCAGGUCUUGACAUACUCUGCAAAGCUAUAGAAAUAUAGUGGAGGUUAUCAGGGAUACAGGUGGUGCAUGGUUGUCGUCAGCUCGUGUCGUGAGAUGUUGGGUUAAGUCCCGCAACGAGCGCA
rnacentral:rRNA from 1 species